ACUCCUACGGGAGGGCAGCAGUAGGGGAAUCUUUCCGCAAUGGGCGAAAGCCUGACGGAGCAACGCCGCGUGAGUGAUGAAGGUCUUCGGAUCGUAAAACCUCUGUUAUUAGGGAAGAACAUAUGUGUAAGUAACUGUGCACAUCUUGACGGUACCUAAUCAGAAAGCCACGGCUAACUACGUGCCAGCAGCCGCGGUAAUACGUAGGGGGCAAGCGUUAUCCGGGAAUUAUUGGGCGUAAAGCGCGCGUAGGCGGUUUUUUAAGUCUGAUGUGAAAGCCCACGGCUCAACCGUGGAGGGUCAUUGGAAACUGGAAAACUUGAGUGCAGAAGAGGAAAGUGGAAUUCCAUGUGUAGCGGUGAAAUGCGCAGAGAUAUGGAGGAACACCAGUGGCGAAGGCGACUUUCUGGUCUGGUAACUGACGCUGAUGUGCGAAAG
rnacentral:rRNA from 1 species